rnacentral:rRNA from 1 species
GGGGAAUUUUGGACAAUGGGCGCAAGCCUGAUCCAGCCAUGCCGCGUGCAGGAUGAAGGCCUUCGGGUUGUAAACUGCUUUUGUACGGAACGAAAAGACUCUGGUUAAUACCUGGGGUCCAUGACGGUACCGUAAGAAUAAGCACCGGCUAACUACGUGCCAGCAGCCGCGGUAAUACGUAGGGUGCGAGCGUUAAUCGGAAUUACUGGGCGUAAAGCGUGCGCAGGCGGUUAUGUAAGACAGAUGUGAAAUCCCCGGGCUCAACCUGGGAACUGCAUUUGUGACUGCAUAGCUAGAGUACGGCAGAGGGGGAUGGAAUUCCGCGUGUAGCAGUGAAAUGCGUAGAUAUGCGGAGGAACACCGAUGGCGAAGGCAAUCCCCUGGGCCUGUACUGACGCUCAUGCACGAAAGCGUGGGGAGCAAAC